UCCGCACUCCAGUGAAAAUGCCCUCGAGCUUCCCUUUUUCCCAAGCAAAAGGAGCAGGUAUCAGGCACACCCAGCAGUAGCCCAAGACGCCUUGCUAAGCCACACCCCCACGGGUAUUCAGCAGUAAUUAACCUUAAGCAAUAAGUGUAAACUUGACUUAGCCAUAGUAGCACUAGGGCUGGUAAAUCUUGUGCCAGCCACCGCGGUCAUACAAGAAGCCCGAAUCAAUAGCCAUCCGGCGUAAAGAGUGGCCAUAUGCUAUCCACACCAACUAAGAUCGAAAUGAAACCAAGCUGUCAUAAGCCCAAGAUACACUUAAGCCCAAUCUAAACUAUCUUAGCCGUGCGACUAAUUUUAACCCACGAAAGCCAGGACACAAACUGGGAUUAGAUACCCCACUAUGCCCGGCCUUAAAUCCAGAUACCUGUACACCUACUUACGUAUCCGCCCGAGAACUACGAGCACAAACGCUUAAAACUCUAAGGACUUGGCGGUGUCUCAAACCCACCUAGAGGAGCCUGUUCUGUAACCGAUAAUCCACGAUUCACCCAACCACCUCUUGCCAACACAGCCUAUAUACCGCCGUCGCCAGCUCACCUCUAAUGAAAGAACAACAGUGGGCCCAACAGCUCCCCGCUAACAAGACAGGUCAAGGUAUAGCCCAUGAGGUGGGAGAAAUGGGCUACAUUUUCUACCAUAGAACAAACGGAAAAGAGCAUGAAACUUAGCUCUUGGAAGGAGGAUUUAGCAGUAAAGUGAGAUCACCCUAAGCCCACUUUAAGAUGGCCCUGGGACACGUACAUACCGCCCGUCACCCUCUU
rnacentral:rRNA from 1 species